UACGGGGGGGGCAAGCGUUGUUCGGAAUUACUGGGCGUAAAGGGCUCGUAGGCGGCCAACUAAGUCGGACGUGAAAUCCCCAGGCUCAACCUGGGAACUGCGUCCGAUACUGGAUGGCUUGAAUCCGGGAGAGGGAUGCGGAAUUCCAGGUGUAGCGGUGAAAUGCGUAGAUAUCUGGAGGAACACCGGUGGCGAAGGCGGCAUCCUGGACCGGUAUUGACGCUGAGGCGCGAAGGCUAGGGGAGCGAACGGG
rnacentral:rRNA from 1 species